rnacentral:rRNA from 1 species
GAUGAACGCUGGCGGCGUGCUUAACACAUGCAAGUCGAACGGUGAAGCCCAGCUUGCUGGGUGGAUCAGUGGCGAACGGGCGAGUAACACGUGAGCAACCUGCCCUGGACUCUGGGAUAAGCGCUGGAAACGGCGUCUAAUACUGGAUAUGAGACGUGGCCGCAUGGUCAACGUUUGGAAAGAUUUUUAGGUCUGGGAUGGGCUCGCGGCCUAUCAGCUUGUUGGUGAGGUAAUGGCUCACCAAGGCGUCGACGGGUAGCCGGCCUGAGAGGGUGACCGGCCACACUGGGACUGAGACACGGCCCAGACUCCUACGGGAGGCAGCAGUGGGGAAUAUUGCACAAUGGGCGGAAGCCUGAUGCAGCAACGCCGCGUGAGGGAUGACGGCCUUCGGGUUGUAAACCUCUUUUAGCAAGGAAGAAGCUUUUGUGACGGUACUUGCAGAAAAAGCGCCGGCUAACUACGUGCCAGCAGCCGCAGUAAGAC